GCAUAAAUAAAAUAAGUUCAUCAUCUUUGUUCAUUAGAACCACCAUAACCCAAGUAUAGCAGCUAAGCAUAGCUACCCAACAGAAAGGUAAACCCAGGUUGGCAAGGAAUAAUCAUAAAAACUAGGCAAACCUUAAUAGGACCCAACAAAUUUAAUGCAAGCAUAUGCAAUAGUGAUUAAACAAAGUUAUUAGGACAAAAGCACAAGGACACACUUGCCUUUCUCCAACGAAAAGUUACUCUUACUUCUCUUCGGCUCUUGUUCACUUGAAACUCUUAAUCUUCAAAGCUUUCGAACAGCGAUCCUUCUACUCGAAGCAAUCACCGGCACAAUCAUACAAGUAAACAAACAAAUAAAACUAAGAGCAGUACACCAAAACAAAAGGAAAGCUUUAAAAGAGCGUACUAACGACAAGGCUCGAUCUAAGGUCACGCGAACAUAAGGAACACUUAAAACGGAACUAUGGUUGAAAAGAUAAAGCUAUCGAGAGUUUUGAAUUAUAAAAGAAAGAUAAGAGCUACAAGCUUUAUUUAUUUUAGUUGAGAAAAGCAAUGUAAAGAUAUUUUAGAGAAAUAUCCUUAGUUAGAAUUAAUCAAGUCAUAUUUAUAUUUUCAUAAGAAAAGACGGUGUAAAGCUGACUCCAAUUUUAUUUAUAAAUAUUUGAGUACAAUUUAAGCAAAUUAAACAUUUAAUUUAAAAAUAAGAUACAUGUAGACAUCUAAGCGUAUAGCUUUACAUCUCGAGUUCAACUAAGUAGAUUAAAUUAAAAAACAUUUAUAUUUAUAUUAGCCAAAUUAAUAUUUAAUUAUGAAAACUCGAGAUAUAACCUAUACAGAUUUUAUUUAGAAAACAAAUUGAAUAAACAUUAAUCAAAUUGAAUUUAAUUUAUGAAACGCCGAGGUAUAACUCUAAGUGGCUUUUAAUUGGAAGAAUUAUUUAGAUAGGCAUUAAUCCAAUUAACUUUAGUUUAUGAAAAACCGAUAUAUAACCUAAUUGGCUUUUAUUUAGAAGAGGGUAUGAAGUAGGUAUUAAUCAAAUUAACAAUUAUGAUGAAAAAUGAUGUUUAACACUAAAUAGAUUUUAUUUAGAGAAGAACUCAUUUGUCAGGCAUUAAUCAAUUUUAAUAUAAAUUUUAUUUUCAAAAACAUGUGUGAAGGAAAACAUUACCACUAACGUGUAAUUUACAUCAUUAUGAAUCUAACGCAACUUGAACGGACAAAAACGGAAUUAAAAUGUAAAAUCUAUGGGUUAAACGGCGUUGCAGGGGUCUAAACGUAAUUAACCGUAGACUUGGAGGGUUAGCAAGGAAAUUUUGCAAGACACCAGGAAUAGUGCUCGCGAAAAGGUGAAAACUCGGGGUUAGGUCUGCAAAAGGUCAAGGCUUGGAUUAGAUUGAAAGAAUGCAAGAAUUACAGGGGCCUCACUGAAAGAUUUACAAGACACAAGAAUUAAGAAAAAGAAAAUAGGAGAGGUCAGGGGCUAGAUUGAAAAGUGGCACCUCAUCUUCUUCCUCACGCCAGGAGCAUGGCGCAGCUCCUGGCCGGCGGCCUGCCGGGGCUCCGGUGCGGCGGGGACUCGGGUGGGUGGUCCAGGCGGUGGUGGCCGGGCUGCUGGCCCCGACGGUGAUGUGCGGGCGGCAUCUCGGCCAGGAGCAGGCGGCGGACAGAGGGGCGCCUGCGAGCUGCGAGCAGAAACAGAAGGAGUCUGUUGCAACUGUUGCAGAAACAAGGAAAAGAGAGAGAAAGAGGGGAUCGUCGGAAACGAAGUCCGAUCUCGCGCAUGAACGGCAAAAUGGAACGAUAUCGACGAGACGAAUAAGAUGGUGUGCUCACUUUCGACCAGAGAUGAAUAAUGGCGGCGGAAAAGCUCGCCGGAGUUGGGGAAGACGACGGAGCCGACAUCGGAUUCAUGCAAUCCACCACACCACGGCGUAGAGCUUGAAGAGAGGAACUCCAUGGUGGUGUCGGUUUUCGCCGGAAGUCCACGGUUUCGCCGGAAAAGCUCGCCGGAGUUUGACGAAGACCGAACUUUGACUUCAGAUCUACGGAGUUAGGAGAGGUAACUCGUGAAAAGGUUUGUAGUGAAAUCCUCGCGUCGAGACGAACGCGGUGAUAUAUAUAUAGGCCACACUCGGAAAAAGAUAUUUUCGAGUUGACUUUUUAUUUUCAGAAUUUCUGAUUUUAUUUAUCUGCGCGAAAACAAUUCCAGAAAUAGCUGGACUCAUUUUCUAAGGUGAGAAAAAUACCUAGAAAAUUCCGAAAAAUCUGAGAUAAAUCUCAGAGAUGAAUUGGGAUGCAAGGAAUCCAAAUAAAAUACUUGGAGCUCGUGAAAAGGAUUCUAGAGCCUUCCAAAAAUUGGAUUUAGCUCUAGGAAAUGGAGAAUAAAUUCCAGAAAAAGAUGGAAAAUCCUCACAAGGAUCUGGGCAACGUCUAAACGCAUUUUUCAAACUUGUGCACUCAAGAAACACCAAGAUGCAGCGACAUGAAUGCACAGACAUAGAACAACAAUAUUUAAUUUAUAAAAGCAAAUAAUUAUUUUUCCUAUACUAAAUUUCCUGUAAAGAAAAUAAUUGUUGGGAAAAUUUUAAAAUUAUGAGAAAAUCAUUGUUUAUUUAUUCCUUUUAUUCACAUCCUGAAAUUCGGAAAUUUCAGGGUGUGACAACACUACCCCCCUUAACAAGAAUCUCGUCCCGAGAUUCGCAAAGGCUAGCAAGAGACAAAGGUUUAGGUGGGUAGCAUCCAACACUUAUUAGCUUCUUCCUAGAUCGUUCAUCCUUACGUAAGCUUCUCAAUCAUGCUUCUUUAUGCUUCACUACAUCACAUAAAACACUUUAGGGAUACUUAGUCUAAUUCCUCUUUUAAGUAUCCUUUCCUUUCCUCUGCUUCUUUGGCCCAUCUUUGAAGAAUUUUCUUCAUUUCUUGGUAAAGUGAUUUGAAUAGAGCUGAAUUGCUUCCCUCUGGCUCGACUAUCAUCCUUCAAGUCUUCAUACACAUCCUUUAGUCUUCUUCUCCAUCUGGUCCAAACGCUUCUUGGAACAUUGUCUGAUGAAAUGUCUCUCUUAUUUGCAGUAGAAACAUGUUAUUCUUGCUUUGGUACUUUGGCAACUAGAUGUGGUAUGGGAAUUGGCAUUGGAAAUUGGUGGCAUUCUUUCUUGACUGAGGCAUCCUAAUUAUUUGUCCUGACAAAGAGGCCAACUGAUGUUGUCGGUUUGAAUGCAGGGCUAUUGGAUCCUUGGCCCUGGGGUUGAUCAUCUUUCUCUUUUGCACACCAACUAACAAGAUGUUCGUUCUCUCCACACUUGAGGCAAUAUAUUUUGGCUCCAACGGACCUGGUCCACUUACACUUUAUUGGAUAGUUAUUUGUAUAAUGGCCUUCUUCACCGCAUCUGAAGCAUAGUCUUUUAUUACAUCCUUCUUGUCUUCCUUUCUGCUCCAUGGUAGCUAUCGGUGGAAUAGCUUGCGCAUUGGGAUUCUUCUUGAUGGGGUUGCCACGUGGAUGGUGAACAACUUUAGGCUAUAGUUGGUGGGAACUAGGCUGAGUACUAUUAUCUGCCAAUGGUUGUGGUAACUCCAUCUUCUUUUGAUUUGCUUUACUAGUUGGCUUCUUGGCUUGCCUACUCCUCCAGGGCUGAAAUUCUUUGAAAGAGAUACUCCAACCCUCAAAGUUCAUAGUGUGAGUACUAUCUUCAUCUUGAGUGACUUCCUCUUGGUCUAGCCCUUGGGCAUACAACUUCCUCUUCUUAUUGAUGUCCAAAUAAUAAUGUUGUCUAGCUUCAACUGUCAUUAAGCUAUCUUCUUCCUGGAGACAUGGAAGACCAUGGUGUUCACAACACUGGCGUGUUCCCAGAAUCUUAACAUCCUCAUGUUGCCUCUCCAUUUCUAGCUCUGGCGCUAUACGGCUUGGCUUGUUCCUUUGACGGUUCCAUGCUUCGGCAACUUGCCUCUUCAGUGGUCCAGUAGAAAUUCUAACUUUGGUCAUUUCCAUGUUAUGAGGGGUUGAUGUGUCAAUCUGUAUCCUUCCUUGCAAGACUUGAGCCUGCAUGGUUAAUAGCUUCUCGUUGUCGAACGGUGGUGGAACAGACGGAACCUGAUGGUCAUCACUAGUGAUAGGGCUGUGGUUCUGAGGAAGUGAGGCUUGCUCUGUGAUAUACUGAUGGAUAUUGACCAUGGUUUGAGACAUUGCUUCUAAAACAUGGGUUUGUGUUGCCAUAUACUCUAACAUCUUGCGUUCGAAUGAUGCGGCUACAGGUGGAAUGUUAAGAUCUCCUUCAUUGGCCCUAUCUUCAUGAUUUUCAUUGGGACUCGCCAGUUGAUUCGGUGAUAACGAUAGGAUCAGAAGAAAAUAGGAAAUGGAUAAAAUUGCAGAACAAGAUAGAGCACUUCAUGAUACCUUCAUCUUUUCUUGGGUUGUCAUCCGAGUAAGGUAGAAGGAAGGAUAGAAAGCAGCAAAGUGGCAAGUAAACUAGGGUAGGGCCUUCUUUUCUUCGACUUGCUUCUAUUCCGACGGUGAUAGUGGCGAUAGCCUCUGCUUGUUGAUAUUGGUGUUGCCUUCACUCUCUUCUUGAUGUCCAUCAGAAUUGGGAGAUAGAAAGAAAAAUAACAAGGAUGUGGGAGGUACAAGCAGACUCGAAGAGAGAAAAGAAAACAAAGAGGUGGGAGACAACAAGUUCCUUAUGGUAGAGUGGAUAGUCUUCCAUCUUUGCUUGUCGCGAGUAGAAUCUCGGUGCUUUCUUCAUCUUCUUUGAUUCUCGUAAUCAUCAUUAGAGUAAGAUGGAGAUCAAAGUAAAGCCUUCUAUUCUUCAACUUGCUUCUAGCGAGAUGGUGGUGGUGAUGUUAACUCUUGCUUGUUGACGUUGGUGUUGACUUUAGUUCUCUCUUUUCUGAUGCCCUUCAUUGGUUCGGGUAGAAAGGAAUGGAUGACAAGGAUAUGGGAGAUUCAAAAGAAGAACCCAGCUAGGCAACUGAUGUCAUUGUAGAUAGAAGACCCACAAUACACCAACAAUCAUUACAAAGAAACAAAUCAGACAAUUUCAUAAAGACAAGCAUCAUCAUGCAAACACAAAAUUCCACCAGUCAACACAGAGUCAAGAAACGAUGCUAAACAUUGUUAAUAAGGCUGCAAGGGGUACUCCUAAGCAGAUGUUGUUUGGUAAGGCUUCAACAUGCUUGGUGUAGGUACCUUCGACUUGUCAAGCGUCGACUCCAGCUUUUUGAUAGUGUUGGCGGUGGGGAUGGCAAAAUCUUCUCUAGGUGGUGAAUAGGUAGCUCCAUUCUUCAGAUGUCUUGAGCAGGCUUUAAGAUAGGUGGCAUGGAUCAUCUAGAUAUUUUUGAAUAAAAUGAGACAUUUUGGGAAUCAAAAGUCAAGGAAAAGAUUCCAAGGUAGCAUUUAUUUGAAAAGCAACGAGAGGUACAAUGGGGUAGAUGGAUAUACUGAAAAUAAAGUUAAGGAAGAGAUAGGUUUACAAGGAUAAGUAUGUAAGGAAAAUAUUAAGGAGAUAAAUGAACAGGGGAUGAGAGAGUAGCAAUAUCACUAAGAAAUCAAGGAGGUGUAUUGCAUCAAACAGGUAAGAUCAUUCAUCAAGAAGGAGAUGCAUGAUCAAGAUCAAGCAGUGAUCAAGGAGAGAGGAAAUAAAUAGACAAGGAUUGAGGGUCUAACAUUUGCAAGACAAGAAGUGCAAAUGAAAAGAGCUCAAGUUAUCAUGGAGGAUUGAGAAAAGAAAAUGAUCAAGGAGUGAGAAUAUUUUUCAGAAAGGUCAAGGAUAAGGCAGGAAUUGUUUAUAUAGUAAAACAGACCUUAGGAAGUGACCAUUGCUAUCUAGGCUUACGUCCUACAGUCGAUACGGCUCUGAUACCACUUCUGUCACACCCGGUUUUAAGGACAAAACCAAGUGCUACCUAUAUGUAUGCCAGGAUCAAGUUUCAUACAUAUAGUGACAUCAUUAGUGAAUAACAGCAACAGUAUCACGUAAAAAGAUACAAAGACUUACGAAACCAUCAGAGAUAUACAGCUUAAUUAUGGAAACGGAGGCUCCAAACUUCACAGGCAAUCGACUGGGGUUGCGUAUGCCUAGGACUCAGCACCAUCUUCACAAUAACUUCAUAGCAGCUUCUUCUUCUGAGCAACGUUGUUUAUAGCAAGGGUGAGUACUUGUCGUACUCAGCAAGUGUGAGGAGAAUAUGAAUGCAAGGCUUAAACAAGGAAAGGCUGACCGGUUGACUGCAUUAAGCAUUUUUAGUUGGUCAAAUUUUAUUAGCACCUGAUUACUAAGGUAUAAGUAUAUACCAACCCACAAUUAAUAGAGACAUAACCAUAAGCCAUAAGCAUAUGGCACAACCAUAACCAUAGCAUAAACCACAAUUUAAAUCCAUCUUCAAGUAUAUUACUCAUGUGAGGGUCCAGGCCGCUCUUAACCGUGAGCACGGCUGAUCGAUCAGUUUUACACUCUGCACAGGUGGCACAUAUUUACCCACAAGUCGCGUAAAAGUUCAAAAGAACUUUAGACCCAACCAUGCUUGUGCUGAUCAGGCACAAUACCACACUUCCAAGGUGUGAUUGCAUAGGGACGGUACAAGGCCUUUACAAAGAUUCACUAGUCAGUGGUAACCCGCUAAGGUUUCGGUGUCUGGCGCGCACCACCCAUCCCAGGUAAAAUGCAACGACUCAGUCCCCCCUCUUGCCUCAUCACGAGUAAGGUCACCCCAGACUAAGGUUUCUAAUUAAUCAGCCAAGACCAGAGCCAUUUAGUCUUGUGGUAGCACUGUUUUCCUGGGUGGUUCUCCAUGUUCUAAUUAACAUAAUGAUCUUGAAUUAAAGAAAUGUGUAGCAUAAAUAAAAUAAGUUCAUCAUCUUUGUUCAUUAGAACCACCAUAACCCAAGUAUAGCAGCUAAGCAUAGCUACCCAACAGAAAGGUAAACCCAGGUUGGCAAGGAAUAAUCAUAAAAACUAGGCACACCUUAAUAGGACCCAACAAAUUUAAUGCAAGCAUAUGCAAUAGUGAUUAAACAAAGUUAUUAGGACAAAAG
rnacentral:lncRNA from 1 species